rnacentral:rRNA from 1 species
UACGUAGGGUGCAAGCGUUGUCCGGAAUUAUUGGGCGUAAAGAGCUCGUAGGCGGUCUGUCGCGUCUGCUGUGAAAACUCAGGGCUUAACCCUGAGCUUGCAGUGGGUACGGGCAGACUAGAGUGCGGUAGGGGAGACUGGAAUUCCUGGUGUAGCGGUGAAAUGCGCAGAUAUCGGGAAGAACACCCGUGGCGAAGGCGGCUCUCUGGGACGGUACUGACGCUGAGACGCGAAAGCGUGGGGAGCGAACAGG